rnacentral:rRNA from 1 species
CACUUCGGUGGGGAUUAGUGGCGAACGGGUGAGUAACACGUGGGCAAUCUGCCCUGCACUCUGGGACAAGCCCUGGAAACGGGGUCUAAUACCGGAUACUGACCACCGCGGGCAUCUGUGGUGGUCGAAAGCUCCGGCGGUGCAGGAUGAGCCCGCGGCCUAUCAGCUUGUUGGUGAGGUAACGGCUCACCAAGGCGACGACGGGUAGCCGGCCUGAGAGGGCGACCGGCCACACUGGGACUGAGACACGGCCCAGACUCCUACGGGAGGCAGCAGUGGGGAAUAUUGCACAAUGGGCGCAAGCCUGAUGCAGCGACGCCGCGUGAGGGAUGACGGCCUUCGGGUUGUAAACCUCUUUCAGCAGGGAAGAAGCGAAAGUGACGGUACCUGCAGAAGAAGCGCCGGCUAACUACGUGCCAGCAGCCGCGGUAAUACGUAGGGCGCGAGCGUUGUCCGGAAUUAUUGGGCGUAAAGAGCUCGUAGGCGGCUUGUCGCGUCGGUUGUGAAAGCCCGGGGCUUAACCCCGGGUCUGCAGUCGAUACGGGCAGGCUAGAGUUCGGUAGGGGAGAUCGGAAUUCCUGGUGUAGCGGUGAAAUGCGCAGAUAUCAGGAGGAACACCGGUGGCGAAGGCGGAUCUCUGGGCCGAUACUGACGCUGAGGAGCGAAAGCGUGGGGAGCGAACAGGAUUAGAUACCCUGGUAGU